rnacentral:rRNA from 1 species
AGAGUUUGAUCAUGGCUCAGGAUGAACGCUAGCGAUAGGCUUAACACAUGCAAGUCGAGGGGCAGCACUGGUUAUCGGCAACGGUAUCCUGGUGGCGACCGGCGCACGGGUGAGUAACACGUAUGCAACCUACCCUUAACCGGGGGAUAACCCGGGGAAAUCCGGGCUAAUACCCCAUGAGACGGCAUCAUCGCCUGAUGUUACCGUUAAAGAUUGAUCGGUUUUGGAUGGGCAUGCGUUCCAUUAGCUCGUUGGUGGGGUAACGGCCCACCAAGGCCACGAUGGAUAGGGGAACUGAGAGGUUCAUCCCCCACACUGGAACUGAGACACGGUCCAGACUCCUACGGGAGGCAGCAGUGAGGAAUCUUGGUCAAUGGAGGCAACUCUGAACCAGCCACGUCGCGUGAAGGAGGAAGGCCUUACGGGUCGUAAACUUCUUUUUCGGGGGAAUAAACGGGGUCACGCGUGGCCCCCUGCAUGUACCCCGCGAACAAGGAUCGGCUAACUCCGUGCCAGCAGCCGCGGUAAUACGGAGGAUCCGAGCGUUAUCCGGAUUUAUUGGGUUUAAAGGGUGCGCAGGCGGGUUGCUAAGUCGGUGGUGAAAUCCCGGGGCUCAACCCCUGGCUUGCCAUCGAAACUGGUUACCUUGAGUAUGGGUGAGGCAGGCGGAAUUCGUGGUGUAGCGGUGAAAUGCAUAGAUAUCACGAGGAACCCCGAUCGCGUAGGCAGCUUGCCAUUCCAUCACUGACGCUCAUGCACGAAGGCGUGGGGAUCAAACAGGAUUAGAUACCCUGGUAGUCCACGCGGUAAACGAUGAUUACUGGCCGUUCGCGAUACACUGUGAGCGGCCCAGCGAAAGCGUUAAGUAAUCCACCUGGGGAGUACGUUCGCAAGAAUGAAACUCAAAUGAAUUUGACGG